AUUGAACGCUGGCGGCAGGCCUAACACAUGCAAGUCGAACGAGUGGCGGACGGGUGAGUAAUGUCUGGGAAACUGCCUGAUGGAGGGGGAUGAGUACUGGAAACGGUAGCUAAUACCGCAUACCAUCAGAUGGGCCCUGAUGGGAUUAGCUAGUAGGUGGGGUAAAGGUUCACCUAGGCGACGAUCCCUAGCUGGUCUGAGAGGAUGACCAGCCACACGGGGACUGAGACACGGUCCAGACUCCUACGGGAGGCAGCAGUGGGGAAUAUUGCACAAUGGGCGAAAGCCUGAUGCAGCCAUGCCGCGUGUAUGAAGAAGGCCUUCGGGUUGUAAAGUACUUUCAGCGGGGAGGCGUUACCCGAAGAAGAAGCCCCGGCUAACUCCGUGCCAGCAGCCGCGGUAAUUC
rnacentral:rRNA from 1 species